GCAAUCAUUAUUUCGCCUGACCGUUUGAUCUUUUUUUUCAACAGCUUGACUAUCGGUUCACACGUGGCUGUUAGAUGAGAUGUGAACCAUGACAGGUAGUUCAAUCUUUCUAAGAAACCACGAACCUCUCUUUUUCUUCCUCGGUUCAGGCGUUUCUCUUAUUGUUCUUUUUUUUCUUGUUUUUUUUUUUUUUUUUUUUUUUUUUUUU
rnacentral:lncRNA from 1 species